GCCAGCAGCUAUUUCACCCUGCAAAAGCUCACUAAAGCUCAGCAGCUGUGAGCCUGGUCAGUACCUGGAUGGGAGACCUCCUAGGAACAACUAAGGUUGUUGCUGGAA
rnacentral:rRNA from 1 species